CCUACGGGCGGCAGCAGUGAGGAAUAUUGGUCAAUGGCCGGAAGGCUGAACCAGCCAUGCCGCGUGAAGGUCAGUGCCCUAUGGGCGUUAAACUUCUUUUGUGCGGGAGCAAUAAUGGUCACGUGUGGCCAGACGAGAGUACCGUACGAAUAAGCAUCGGCUAACUCCGUGCCAGCAGCCGCGGUAAAACGGGGGAUGCAAGCGUUAUCCGGAGUUAUUGGGGUUAAAGGGUGCGUAGGCUGUGAGGUAAGUCAGCGGUGAAAUGCCCCCGCUCAACGGGGUGAAGGGCCAUUGAUACUGCCUUGCUGGAAUGCGGAUGCCGUGGGAGGAAUGUGUGGUGUAGCGGUGAAAUGCAUAGAUAUCACACAGAACACCGAUUGCGAAGGCAUCUCACGAAUCCGCGAUUGACGCUGAUGCACGAAAGCGUGGGUAUCAAACAGGAUUAGAUACCCUAGUAGUC
rnacentral:rRNA from 1 species